rnacentral:lncRNA from 1 species
CUCAGACAUUUUUGUUCAUUCCAGUGUCCCCACCACCUAGAACAUUGUCUGCCACAUGGUUGGUGCUCAAAAGUUACUUUUCGAAUGACUAAGUAAGUGUAUAUGGAUGAAUGAAUUGAAGAAUUGAGUGAAUUGGAAGCUGAGCCAGUUUUUGCAUUAACAUUGGCGGGAAAAGUAAGUUCUAUGAAGGCAAAGCCAGGAAAAUGACUCAGACGCUGGCAGGAAUCCAGCUUCCACGGGUCAGCACCAUCCUGGAGAGCUGGGGGUGAGGUUCUGGCCAUCUUCCCCUUGGCUCCUUCCCUUGGAAGAGCACAAUGCAACUUGUUUCUUUACUCUUUUAAAUUACUUCUAUUGUUAGGAGUAACAUUGUAAUUACCACCACCACCCCCUUUUUUUUCUUGUCAUAGAUCAUUGACACCAUGCCAGAAAAUCACCUGCCCAGUCAUUGUCUGUGCUGCUGCCAUUCUUACUAGGGUGUGGCAGAUGGUGUUCAACUCUCCUGCUCUUCAAUUGUCAGAAUUAGGUGUCAUGGUUAUAUCCUGUCCGUUCCUCCCAAUAAACCAGAGAUGGGAUUCAAUGAUGAAGUACCAAAAUGAGAACCAGCAGUCCUGAAGUACAAUUCAACCCCAUUGUAAUAGUCUUAAUAAUUGAUAAAUUCCCACAGAUCUGACUUAUCAAAUCUUCUUUGUUAAAAAUACAUAAAGUCUUCUUUGUCUAUGCAACAUUCUACACAGUGGUGAAUCUGGGUUAUUCUCUACAGCUGCUACCUUUUAA